GGGGAUGAUUAGGAUUCGACGUUGAUUACAAAGCUAUGGGUGCAUGCCGAGAGCGUAUAGCGAUCUCGUUAAUAAACGUUAUACAAAGUUAUAGUCGCAAACGACGAAAACUACGCACUAGCAGCUUAAUCCCUGCUAACCUCCGAAGCUAGGUGCCUGUAACUAGCGGACGAGGGCAUCGCCCUACAGGAUCGCCUGGACGCUUCGCUCGGAGCCGAACGGUUAAAACUCAAUCGAGCUCGUUGGCUACGCCCUGCCUCUUGGGCCGUACUCGACUAAAUCAAUAAAGAAGGCUAAGCAUGUAGAUCCUCUAGUGGAGGAUUGGCGGACGCGGGUUCAAAUCCCGCCAUCUCCACCA
rnacentral:tmRNA from 1 species